rnacentral:rRNA from 1 species
CUGGCGAACGGGUGAGUAAUGUAUCGGAACGUGCCCGGUAGCGGGGGAUAACUACGCGAAAGCGACGCUAAUACCGCAUACGCCCUACGGGGGAAAGCGGGGGAUCGUCGGACCUUGCGCUAUUGGAGCGGCCUAUAUCGGAUUAGCUAGUUGGUGAGGUAACGGCUCACCAAGGCGACGAUCCGUAGCUGGUUUGAGAGGACGACCAGCCACACUGGAACUGAGACACGGCCCAGACUCCUACGGGAGGCAGCAGUGGGGAAUAUUGGACAAUGGGCGAAACCCUGAUCCAGCCAUCCCGCGUGUGCGAUGAAGGCCUUCGGGUUGUAAAGCACUUUUGGCAGGAAAGAAGCGCCGUGGGUUAAUACCUUGCGAAACUGACGGUACCUGCAGAAUAAGCACCGGCUAACUACGUGCCAGCAGCCGCGUUAAAUAA